GAUGGGUGGGUGGGUGGAUGGAUGGAUGGAUGGAUGGGUGAGUGAGAGAGUGGGUAGGUAGGUGGAUGGAUGGAUAGAUGGAUGGGUGGGUGGGUGGACCGGAUAGAUUGGAUGGAUGGAUGGAUCUAGAGCCCAAACCUCUAUUAGGGAGUUUAAAGAAGGCCUCCCUAAGGAAAUGAUGUUUAACUGAGCCCUGAAGGGUAAAUAUAAGUUAGCCAGAGGAAAAAUGGUGAUAAGAAGUUUGAGGCACGGAGAACACCAUUUGUAGUAUCCUGUAGAGAGAAGAAAUUGUCAUGUUGAAAGAACUGAAAAGACACCACCGUGACAGUGCCUGGUUGGCCACAGGAAACCAGAGGCCAGACCCCGAACUGUGCAUGUUCUAUGAAAAAGUGGGGACCUCCCCAGAGGCCAGUGGUGCAAAACGUUACUUGUAUGAAGAUGACUGUGUAUUCUUCACUGUGUAUUCAGGUCGCUGGCUGCUCAUUUUAGUGUAUUCUGACAGUGAGUUUCCAGGGAGAUUGUGAGGGCUUCCCAGGUUUUUCUUCAACAGGAGUUGUUCAGAAGACCUCUGGUACUGUCCAGUACAAUAGCUAAAGUACUUCUUAACUCCUCUGUCAGCCCCUCUCGGGUAGGAGAGCAAAAUGCACAGGCGAUGGCAUAGCAGCUGUCCCAGCCGAGGGCUUUCCCUGCAACAUUACAAGUAUCGGCAGUGGUAAUCACCCUGAACUAGUAAGAAUCCCAUUAUAUAGGUUUGGGUAAGUAAAAUUUUGAAAGAUACAUAAUCCAGAUAUUAUGGCUAGGGCUUAUAUUAGAGCCUGAAGUUGAGUGGUUUGUAUUCGAAAGACAUUCCAGCAGAAGGCUGAGGAUUCAUUCCUUCAAAACCUUUACCAGUUACCUGCCGUGCCUGGCGCCACACUAGUUGCAGAGGAAAUGGAGAUGAAUAUGACCUUGCCCCUGAGUCGUACGUGUAUGUGUGUAUGUAAGUAAAAGUAUUGGCAAGAGCUCGGGUCUGCUGAGAAAAGUGCAGAUGCAAUAUUCUUGGGCAAUGCAGCCAAGCAGCUGUGGGUGGAUGAUGACUCCAGGAUGCUGGGCUGAGAAGCAGGCUCUCAGCCUGGUAUUUUGAAGAGGGUAACUGCAUUAAAUACCAACAGCAGACCUCAGCCAGCAAAUAAGUAAAGAAUCUGUGUAUUGGUGAGUGUGCCACUGCGCCAUGCUGCAGAUCAGAAACUAAAGAUUUACUUGUCUGUACCCUGAGACUCAGCUGUCCCAGUAAAUGUUGUGUGACAGAACAGCCCACGCUGAAUGGUGAUGGACAGAUGGAAGGUUGAGGAUAAGAAGGAAGUCACGUCUUGGCGUCACAGAGGCAACACAGUUCAGGACACACGCAACCAAGGGUCGAGGCAAGGACCAGUUGUAACUGGAAAAAAAAACACAACUCCAAGUUUAGACUAGCCAGAUUGCUUAAUUGAUUUCUCAGAUCAAAACCAAAAGCGUGUGCUUUUCCUCUGAUGUGGUAUUUUGUGUGUGUGUGGAGGAUUCUGCCCUUGGUUUCAAAAUGGCAUAAUGACGAGAGGCUGGGCUUGCGAUCCUUAAGUUACUUAUCUCUGAGCCUUUCUUCAUGUGUAAAGUCAUGAUGGUAACUUCUCACUGGAUUAAUGAAAUAUGAAGGUAUUGUAAAAAAGACUGUAAAUUGGGAGAGAUUAAAUGUUUUCUCCUGUUUGACUAGUGAGGAUUGAUAGGUCUUACUAGCAGAUUUUUCCAGGCAGCUUUGACAAGUACCUGCUGAAAAAUACAAAUGUUCUCCACGUGUGCUAAGUUUGGGAAGGUUCCAGAAAGGGGAGGGGAGACACAUUUUAUUAUUCAUUGUCAUUACGGGUUCCAGCAAUUCAUUUUUUAAAAGCAUCAUCUAUGUAUCUCUAUUUGAUUGGUUUUAUUUGGCCUAGACACUGGGGAGUAGCAAGCAAACUACCAGUUCAGUUACCCUGCCCACCCUCCGUUCAUUCUGUCUGCUCGCAGCAGCUCGCAGUCCUGGAAUAGGCUCUACUUCAUGUGCUUCUUUAGCCUCCUAUUCAUAAAGCUGCUUCCAAGAAAGAGUUAAUCAAAAUUAAAAAAAAAAAAAAAAUCCACCCUCUUUUCUCAUAUUUCCCCCCAAAGCUUCUAAGUGCCUAAUUUUAGAGUUAAGAAGAGUGAACAAACUGCAUGAGCAGUAUAUGAGGGAAGAUGUCUUUUAACCUGCCAACCUUAUCUUCCUGGCCUCAUUCCUUAAGUACUCAUCAAGUUCAAAGGAAAGCAUUUCCCUAAAAAAAAGUUCAUUAAGGGCUCAGCUGCUAACUAACAGGUCGGUGGCACUUCGAACCCACCAAGCUGCUCCUUGGAAACUCUGUGGGGGAGUUUUCUGUCCUAUAGGGUCACUAUGCAUCCGAACCGACUCAACAACAGGUUUUAUAUGUACCACCAGGCAGGGAAUGGUUAAAUAAACCACCAGACUCCAAAGCCUGUUCCUUUAACCACCAAACUGUAAUAGGAUUUUCACAAGCAGAAAAGGUUAAAGCAAAUAGCAUAAGCACAGACCCACAAACGAUAAAAUAAAAACUCGGUGGCCAGAGCUACAAUGGACACGGCUUGCCACCCUCCAAGCCAUCAGCUGCACGAAUCGGUAUGGGGACCUGACGUCCAGGUGAGCUUUGGUGACCUGAUGGUGCACCUCUCCUCACCUCCUCUGAGCCUGAGGGGUGUUGUAACAACAGCGAAAACCACCUGUUGGGUGCUUUACCAGCGCUGUUGCUUAAUGCCUAUUACACCCCUCUGAGGUAAGUACCCCGAGUUUAUACACAAACUUAGAGCCUUAGACCUGUGCUUCUCGACUUUAAUGUGAUUCAUUAGAAUCACCUGGGGAGUUUAAAACAGACCUGUCCCUAGUCCCGCUCCAGACCAAUCCAGAGUUGGAGUGGAAAGGGAGAGACAGCUUCAGCAUCGGUGGCUCUGCCGAGCCACCAAGGCUAACACUGGUUUGAGGCAGUGAUUCCCCAGUGCUAGUAUUCAUCAGUGGCGUCCCCAGAGCUUGUUCAAACGCAGAAGACCGGGCCACACAGCCAGAGUUUCUUCUUCAGUAGGUCUCAGGUGGGGCCCAAGACUUGGCAUUUCUAAUUAGGCGAAAAUAUUUAGGAACAAUCUCUGUAACCAAUUUAAGCAAUUGUUUGAAUGUAAAGAGGAGAGCAAAGUCACAGCUAUGUUAAUUUAUUCAGUCAACAUUUAUUAUGCACCAACUCUGUGCCAGGCACUUAAAUGGCAGAUAGGCAGAAAUGACAAGACAUAGCAGAGGCAGCUUUGUUUUACCAAACUUUGUGAGUUCAGAAUCUCUUGAAAACGUGAGGGAGCUGUUACAUAAUCUUACUAGUAUUUCCUGAAAGGGUAGUUUGCGAUGUUGGUAAGGAGAAAGCCGUUUGAGUUACCUAGUGCUGCUGUAAUGGAAAUAACACAAGAGGGUGGCUGGCAAAAAGAGAAAUUUGUUUUCUGAGUUCUCGGUGCUAAAAGCCCAAAUCAGCAUCUUACUUGUGUUGAUCUCUCCAUUGCCUGUAGCCCCAGGUGGUCCUUGAUUCCUUGGCAUUUCUUGGCCUGUAGGUAGGCCUCUCAUGGUGUCUGUCUUCCUCCGAGGUUGUGUGUCUCUGUGUCUAUUCUGUUCUUUUUAAAAUUCAGAAGUGGUUAGGUUUAGGACCCACCCUACUCAGGUAUGGCCUCAUUGACAUAACAAAGAAAACGUAUUUUCAAACGGCAUUACAUCUACAGGUACAGGGUCUAGGACUUCAGUAUGUAUUUUUGGGAGAAACAAUUCAAUCGGUAACACCCUCUCACAAGAACAACAAAAAAGCAAUGAAGAAUUACGAUUCUCCCAGACACCCUUCCAAAGAGAAAUUAGCUUAGUAAAUGAACUUUUCUUCAAAAGGCAAACGUCUUCUGGAAAGUGUCAUUCACAGUUUUUGUAUUAAGAAUUAUUUUAAUUUUUAUUGUGCUUUAAGUGAAAGUUUACAAAUCAAGUCAGCCUCUCCCACAAAAACUUACAUGCACCUUGCAACAUACUCCCAAUUGCUCUCCCCCAAAUAAGAGAGUUUGCUCCCUCCCUCUACUCUCGUUUUCAUGUCCAUGUCGCCAGCUUCUAACCCCCUUCACCCUCUCAUCUCCCCUCCAGGGAGGAGAUGCCAACAUAGUCUCAAGUGUCCACCUGAUCCAAGAAGCUCAUUCCUCACCAGCAUCCCUCUCCAUCCCAUUGUCCAGUCCAAUCCCAGUCUGAAGAAUUGGCUUUGGGAAUAAAAAUAUGGAAUGUUUCACGAAUUUGCGUGUCAUCCUUGCACAGAGGCCAUGCUAAUCUUCCCUGUAUCGUUCCAAUUUUAGUAUAUGUGCUGCCGAAGUGGGCACUGAAUCACGAAUUUUGACCAACUUAAUAUGCAGCUGAGGUACCUUCAAGGAAUGGGCACAGGAGGAGACUCUGAACCAGAGAAAGUAACAGGAAGAUGUUUUCACAUCACAGACCGGCCCCAAACACUCGGGAGCACAAAGUCAGCAGCCCCUCCCCCUGCCAACAAUUUGAGAGCAGACGCAAAGGGCCCUGCCCUCAGAUGUAAGACCCUGAGAUUUAAUAACCUCUCUGCCCGGCUUUCUCAUCCACAUGACCUGGGCUCUUACCUUGUGCUGGAGAACAUAUCAAAGAUGGCUUGACUCAACUUGUCAUCAUGAUGUCCUCAUCACCUCACCUCCUUCAGCCACUACCCAUUGAAAACCCAUUGCCAUCGAGUCAAUUCUGACUCAUAGCAACCCUAUAGGACAGAGUAAAACUGCCCCAUAGGGUUUCCAAGAAGUGCCUGGUGGAUUUGAACUGCCGACCUUUUGGUUAGCAGUUGUAGCUAACCAAAAGGUAGCUAACCGCUAGUUGUAUAAAUCUCCAACAAGCUCACGUGUCUGCCUGCCUGCGUUUAUUCUUAGCACUGGUGUUAAUAAUCACUUAUCACUAGUGUGGCCUCGCCUUUGCAGGGGUCUUAGGAUGUGAGAUGCUUGGGGAUACAGAGGUGGUAAGGACAUCCCCAUUCCUGGGGGCUAAAUUCCAGCUCUGUGCUCUGUUCUGGACCAUCUGUGCAGUGACUAGCUUUGUCAGGGAAAGGAAGGCAUAACCAGAAUUAUUUUCUUGGUGAAAAAUAACCACUUGAUCUUUGCUUCUCCUUCAUUAGUCCUAUGAAGUCUCUGGACUGCGUUGCACAGCCAGCAUCACUAACAGGGAAGAUGAGAGAGUCAAAGCUCAGGGAUCUCAUCUUGAGAUCCCAGUUGGUCUUGAGCGUAACAGGCGAGGCCCUCCAGCCCUUCUCAGAUCUCGGGCUCCCUUUGCACAAACCGGCGCCAGCUCCUCAAAGACAGCAAGGCCACUGGGUGGUACGUGGGCGAUAGAAAUAAGAGAAUAUUAGUCCAGAGCAGCUUCUCGUUUAGGGCCACCCCAAAACACGGUUUAUUGCCAGAUGUCCUGCUGACAACAAGUGUUACUUCUAUGAGCCAGGAAAAAAGGUUAUUUUUUUUUUUAAAGAACGUUGCCAUGAAUUCAAAGCAGCGCAUCCCAUGUACUGCAGCUUUUCCUAGUGAAAAAUUAAACACCUGAGAAAGGUUGUCACAAUGACCCAAAAUGGUGACUUGGGUUGUUUGUGUGUACGUGUGUGUGUGUGCACACGCGCAUGCGGUAAAUAUAUAUAUCACAAAACACUUGCCAUUUCAACAUUCUUCACAUACAAUUCAGUGACACUGUGUUUAUCAUGUUGCUCAACCAUCAGAUUUGAGUUAAUUAUUGUUCAGAGGGAGCCCCAACCAAUUUAAAACUUUUGAAAAUUGCCUGGGUCCUGAGUUCUCUUCGACCCCCCAGCCCAGACCUUCAGACCAAGGAUCUCACCUCGCCCAGCUUCCUUGAUCCACAGGAACUGGCCUGGCCUGUCUGGGCCGCUCCCUUACAUUUCCUCUGGGUCUUGCUUCCAUGUGACCCAGGCAGAUGACCUCCAGGAUUGUCCCCCCACCUUACACCGCUGGUGGGCUCGGGUACUGAACACAGAGGGUAUCACUGAAAUGCCGUAGUCACAAGAAGAGAGCCUUCUAGUACUUUUUAUUCAUUCGCUCACAGAAAAAGACAAAUCUGUGCAGCUCCAUCCUCAGCCCAGCUGAAGCCGACAAUCGUUCAGGGUGCUCGAAGGCUUGCUACUCAAAGUGUGGUCCAUGGACCACCUGGGAGCUUGGAAGAAAUACAGAAUCUUUGGCCUGCCCAGACCUUCUAAAUCAGAGUCCACAGCUCAACAGGACCUGCGGGUGAUUGAAAGGAUGUUUGAGGAGCACUGAUUUAGGAUUGGCAUUAAUCUUCAGGGUUGUCACAGGCCACAGGUGUACUGUGCAUCCAAAUGAAGUGCGUUUCAUUAUUCUCCCUGACAGAAGGGUGCUCCUCCAUGUCUCAUCAACCUAGCGAACUCCUACUCAUCCUUCAAGGCCCAGCCAGAUACCACGUCCUCAUAAAACCUUUCUGCUGGGGGUUAGAAGCUGGCAAAAUGGACACGAAAAGAGAGAGAAGAGGGAGAGAGUGGGCUGUCUCAAUAGGGGGAGAGUAAUUGGGAGUGUGUAGCAAGGUGUAUAUGGGUUUUUGUGUGAGAGACUGACUUGCUUUGUAAACUUUCACUUAAAGCACAAUAAAAACUACAUAUAUAGAGAGAGAAAAAAAAAAACCUUUCUGCUGCCCUGAGUCAAAAUGAAUCAUUCCCCUUCUUGUGCUCCCUUGAUAGUUGCAUCUCUCUCCAGUAUAUACCACUAUUGUACAGUCUUCAUGCUCUAGUGUGGCUGAGCUUAUGUGUCUGUCUGUCUCACAAGAGUUGAGUUAUUCAAGGACAAGGAACAUCCAUCUUUGUUCCCCAGCACCCAGCCCAGGGCUUGGAGCAGAGGCUCAAUAAAUGUUACAUGAAAAUAGCCUUUUCAUGUUUCAUUCCACUAUUUUAUAUUUAUGUAAACCUUAUGUCCCUUGAAAAUUUUCACAUUUUAACCUUCUAUUCUCUAAAAACUAUUCUUACAUCUUUCCUACGCUAAUUUCCAGUCACAAUUAAAAAACAUUUCCAUUGGCCAGGCAACAACCUCUAAGCCCGCUUUUCAUUGGGGUAAAUAUUCCUGCCCCUUUCCCCUACACAGAUAACACCAAAACAUAACACACCCAUCGCUGAUGAAAAGCUAGCUUGCAGAGCAGAGAGUUUUAGGGGGACAGUGGUGGUAUAACAAAAGAAAUUAUUUUCUGUAUCCAUUUAGGUUCAACCUUUUAUGGUAGCACUAAUACCUUCUUGCAGAUACAUAACUGACAAGCUGAAUCGGUUGUGAGUGAAAGACAAAAAAACAGUGAAGAGAAGAGAGUUGAGUAGACAGCAAGUAGUGAUGCGAGAGUCACAGUUCUUGGGACGUGAGCCAGCAGCCUGCCGUACUGCCUGCUGAUCUUGGGAUUCAUUGGUCUCCACCUCCACAACCUGUGAGCCAGCGGCCUGCCAUCUGACCUGCUGAUAUUGAGUUCUUUGGCCCCCGCAACUACAUGAGUCAGAAGAAACAUCUAGCCUGAUGCCUAACCCACAGACUUGGGAAUUGCCAGCCUCUACAACUGCGUGAGCCAUUUUCUUGAGAUAAAUCUCUCUCUCUCUCUCUCUCUCUAUAUAUAUACAUAUUAAUUAAAAUUGUUCUAAAGACAGUAAAUAAAUAAAUGCUUUUGGAGAAAUUGAAAUAACUUUUUUUUUUCCUCCCCAAGGGCACAGAAUGCAAGAAUGUAAGAGUCAAUGUUACAUGACAUCAGCUUUCAUGGCCCCAACUUGGUCACUACUAGCUUAUAAUAUCUCUGUCUAUGAAGUUAUUUCCUUAGUAGAUAUAAAUUUCAAAUGCUCCUUUCAAGCUAUAGCGUUUGCUGUCACUUUUAAAUUUCACACAUUCAAAAAGCUGACUUUUCUUUAGAUACUUUUCCUGUAAUUAGGGUAUGUACCACCAGGUGGAGGCACAUACCCUAAUUACAUGCCUGGAUUAUCUGAGCAAUAAGCAUUUUACUGGAUGGAGUAAGGCGUUGUAAGAUAUUGAGAUAUGUAUGUUUUUAUUCUUUGCAGUAUUUUAAUUCUUUGUUAAAAUCUUUGAACUUAAUCGACUAUGGUAGAUAUUUGUUAUAUACCAAUAUUAGCGUAGAAAGAAGAAAAAAGAAACAACCAGUAAAAUCAAAGACAGCCUGGUGAUGCUAUUAGUCAAUGAGAGUUACUUAAAAAGAUACCAUGAGUUUGUCUUUCUAGUUUGUCUUUCCCAAUGAGCUAGAAAAUUCUGUGCUGCUUCCUAUGCUCUCCUGAAUUUUUUUUUCCAUAUGGUUAAAGAAUGGCAAGAAAGCUAAUUCUCCUAAUUACUGAAUGAAAAAAUCCAGGUGUUAGAGCUGAGAGGGUCCUUAGAGACUUAGACAAACUCUGAUAUUAUAUCUGAAGAAACUGGCAUGUCAAGAGCUAGGCGUUUUGCCUGAAGUUCUUUGGAGGUGGAGAACUAGACCCCAGGUGAUAUAAUGACCCUUGACAAAUGUGCUAAAACAGGGCAUUAAUGUAGACUCAUGAAAUUUGUCGUCACUUUCUAAGGCUGCGCUGGGGAGAGGGCGGGGCCUGGUGGCGCAAUGGUUAAGAGCUACAGCGUCCAACGCUGCUAACCAUAAAGUCCGCUGUUCAAAUCUACCAGCUGCUCCAUGGAAACCUUCCGGAACACUUCUCUGUGCUGUUGGAUCGCUGUGAGUCAGAAUCGACGGCAACAGGUUUGGGUUUUUUGCUUUUUCUAAGGCUCGGUUUCCAAAGCCAGUUCCUUAUAACCAAGUAGUCAGGUGCCUGCAGUUAGAUAGGUUAAAGAAUUAACACCUAGUUAGUAGCUGUUAGAUCACAUUCACUUAGGCUUUUCCCAAGUGGAAACGAUUGAAAGGACAUACAAUUUCAACUGAAAAAUAAGUGUGAUUGCUGAACCGAUAGCCAAAAGAAAUAUUUAGAUAAUCCAUAAUGGCAAAAUAAAAAUAAACAAGUACACAGUGUAGGUAAAAUUCUGUGAAAUACAAAUAUCAACCUCUCUCACACUGAAUUUCAAGUUUUGUGAACGCUUGAUAGAAUUCUGGUAUUCCUUAUUUUCUGUCAAAAGGGACACUUUGAACUUCUGCUCGCUUGAGCUUCACAUACUGGCAAGGCUGAUGUCUGUACAUGGAGACCCACUGUUACAUUAACUUCCUGCUUCCGGCUGUGUCCGGAAGAGGGCAACGAGGAUCGAAGGGGUCUCAGGCAGCCUCUCACUCUGUGGGUUAUCUCAGUUUCUACUGAAACAUGAGGAAAUGUGCAUUCUUCAUCCUAUAGCUGUCAGCCUUAGGAAAGGUCUUAAGCCACCAUCCCUUGAGUCCAUGGUUGCUACAAAUUUAGAAUCAGAAGAGAAUGGGGGAACACGAGAGGGCCUCAAGACCCCUCCAGUACCCAGUGCCCUAGAUGAGUGUUAAUGUCCAUGAGUCUUUUUCCAGUAAGCAGAAGGAUUCUCUAGCAACCUCCUCCCAGUCACCACCCACAUUUCACAAUCUUCACCUCUCUGAGAUUAGCAGCUGUUCCUUUCAAAUAGUCUUACUAAGUUUGCAGUCCAGCGUUGCCUUCUUAAUGAAUCAUUACAUUUGCUUUCUUUGAAUUGAUUCGUACUUCCCCAGACUCUACUCCCAUCCCGCAUUUAAAAGAGAAUGUGCAUAUACAACAAAAGAAAAUAUAAGGAAAAAAAAUUAAAUAACUUUGUAAGUUUGAAAAUAAUAAAAGAAAGGAUUGAAAAGUUGAAUUACAUCAAAUAAUGGACAAAAUGUGAACGGACAAUAUACAUGCUAACAGGUGCCGUCGAGUUGGUUCCGACUCAGAGCGACCCUAUACACAACAGAACGAAACACUGCCCGGUCCUGCGCCAUCCUUAAAAUCGUUGUUAUGCUUGAGCUCAUUGUUGCAGCCACUGUGUCAAUCUACCUCAUUGAAGGUCUUCCUCUUUUCGGCUGACCCUGUACUCUGCCAAGCAUGAUGUCCUUCUCCAGGGACUGAUCCCUCCUGACAACAUGUCCAAAGUAUGUAAGAUGCAGUCUUGCCAUCCUUGCCUCUAAGGAGCAUUCUGGCUGCACUUCUUCCAAGACGGAUUUGUUCGUUCUUUUGGCAGUCCAUGGUAUAUUCAAUGUUGUUCACCAACACCACAAUUCAAAAGCGUCAACUCUUCUUCGGUCUUCCUUAUUCAUUGUCCAGCUUUCACAUGCAUAUGAUGUGAUUGAAAAUACCAUGGCUUGGGUCAGGCUCACCUUAGUCUUCAGGGUGACAUCUUUGCUCUUCAACGCUUUGAAGAGGUCUUUUGCAGCAGCUUUACCCAAUGCAAUGCGUCUUUUGAUUUCUUGACUGCUGCUUCCAUGGCUGUUGAUUGUGGAUCCAAGUAAAAUGAAAUCCUUGACAACUUCAAUCUUUUCUCCAUUUAUCAUGAUGUUGCUCAUUGGUCCAGUUGUGAGGAUUUUUGUUUUCUUUAUGUUGUGCUAUAAUCCAUACUGAAGACUAUGGUCUUUGAUCCUCAUUAGUAAGUGCUUCAAGUCCUCUUCACUUUCGGCAAGCAAAGUUGUGUGAUCUGCAUAUCACAGGUUGUUAAUGAGUCUUCCUCCAAUCCUGAUGCCCUGUUCUUCAUAUAGUCCAGCUUCUCAGAUUAUUUGUUCAGCAUACAGAUUAAAUAGGUAUGGUGAAAGAAUACAACCCUGACGCACAUCUAACAAUAGGAGACUGUUUAGGUGAAUUUCAUAAAUAAAACACUAGGUUGCCAUUUAAAAUGAUGGCUAUAAAUACUUUUUUAAAAUAUGAGAAAUGCCUAUCCUUUACUAUUACGUAUAAGAAGCAGGACAUAAAAUUACUUUUUUUUUUUUAAUGCAUGCGAAAAAAGGACUGGUAGAGAGCAUUUCCAAAGGUUAAUGGUGAUUGCAACUGGGAGGUGGGACUUCAAUCAAUUGUAUUUCUGCUUCUUUUUAUCUUUAUGCUUAUGUAUCUUUAUGAUUAUAAACUUUUUAUAAUCAACAUGUACUGCUGUUCUAGUUAGAAAAAAGAAAAAAGACUGCUAUAGGAGAAUUGAAGGAAAAUUGCUGGAAAGCCAAAGAACAAAAUAAGAAUUAAAGUAAUUGUGAUUUCCCUACCUCCAGCAACAAAAAAGUUCUCUACAGAAGAACCUACAGGUCCACCCUCCAGGUAGAUCCCCCUAGCUUGAUGUUUACAGAGAAGGGUUGGCUGAUUGCAAUGUGGUAAAUUGAGAAAUGCCCUAGUUCCUGCCACAUGACUUUGUAGGGUGCUGGGUUCUCUGCAGUAACAUGCAUACUAAUCUUUUUAGCAAUCCCUGCAAUAAGAGGGUUGCCAAACUGGAAUUUGUUGCUUUAUUUGAGACAGGUACACACACAUAUGCAUGCACACGCAAUACAAGAAAUUCAGAAUCAACUACCCCCUUGAAGAAAAACGGUGUAAUUAGCUCUACUUUAGAUGGGAAGAUAUUCUCCAAAACCUAAAUAUAAAAAGAUUUUAUAAAACUGUUUUUCAAAAACUACAGAUCAUCAAUUUCCACCCCACAUUAGUCAGAAGUCCAGUAGAUGAUUGCAUUGCUCAGUAGUAUCAUGGUAUUUGGAUCUUAUGACAACUACAUUGGUGACUAGUCAGAUGCACAGACGCACUCAGCUUCAGAGUUGAAAGAGCCAUGAAGAAAGUUCUCGGGUUGCACCAUGAGAACCAAUUUUCUCAAGCAUAACUUAAUUCCAGCUGUAAAAUUAUCAAAACAUUUGUGGAGAAGGCUAACCCUACAAUCACUGCUGGGUUUCUGUUAAGCUGAUCUCCUUUAACUGAAAUGUCCCCAUACAGUGUUUGUGAAGGAGAGAGGGAGAAAAAAAAGAGCAAAAAGGAGAGGAAGAAGUAGACAGAAGGAGAGAAAAAGAAAGCAAGGGAGACAGAGAAGGAGAGAAAAGGGCACAGACAGCGAGGCAGAGGAAUGGAGACAGAGAGGAAAUUGAAGGGGGGUUGCAAUUACUACUGUUUCUGCCCAGUAUCAACAAUGUGUCUCCCCUCAUCUAGCUUGUAGGGUCAAAUAUUUUCUCUCUUCAUGAAAAGUAUUCAAGUGGGACGGUAUCUCAGAGGGCACCUAACACCAGUCCAACACUGCUGUCUUACACAGAAGAAAACCACUUUUCCACAGUUAUACAGCUGAGUAGUGGCAGUGGUUUUGCUGGAACCCGGUCUUGUGGGCUUGUUUCAAUCGUUCCCUUGCCUUAGCAGUGUGGAAUCCUUGAUUGCAUUUGCCAAAGGGAAAAACUAAGAUAUGAAUAUUAAGAUUAUGUUUUUCAAUGCAAAGAAAUCUAGAAUAUGGAGACAAUUUACCAAACAAUUUAGUGGGAGGAACAACCACUGUUUGUGACGUGGAGUUGCUGUUCUUGGGACUGACUCACAGUUGUCUCCACACUAAGUGUUAAUGCCCAUGUAGAUGAGGAGAUCAUACCCACCCAGGGUCAGGAAAGAAAAGGAGUCAGAACCAGGUAGACACCAACCAUCAAGGACAGUUGAAGAAUUUGGGGGGAGAAUGGGAGAGGGUGCACGGGACAGAGCAUGCAGAGAUAGAAGUCUGCUUCAGCCUAAUGCGUUAUUUGGAAAUAGGGUUGUGGGCCUUCAGAGGAACCAUGGGAGGAAAGUGAGUGAGCCCAGUUGGCCUUUUCAUCAUAGCCUGUGCACACACACAUUCACACACACACCACACACAUACCAUGUACCAAACACACACCCCACACUCACCAUGUCAUACACACCACAGACACCAACACAUACAAACACCUACACACACCACACCACACACAUACCACAUGCCACACAAACAUCCCCCACACACACCACACCAUUAUAUUACCAUAUACCACACGUACCACAUAACACACACACACCACACAUGUGAGGGCACCCCUAUACUCUUUCUUGCACAAAGCACUACUGAUACACAAACAUACCCUUUGGCCUUCCCUCGAACAUGCAAUUUCCUCUUUACUGCUCUAACAGGGCUAACUUUUACUUGUCCUUAAACACUUAAUUGCCAGAAAUUCAAGCUAGAUUCAGAAGAGGAUGUGUUAUGAGGGAUAUCAUUACUGAUGUCAGAUGGAUCUUGGCUAAAAGCAGAGAAUACCAGAAAGAUGUUUACCUGUGUUUUAUUGACUAUGCAAAGGCAUUUGACUGUGCCUUUGACACACAGUUAUGGAUGACAUUGCAAGGAAUGGGAAUGCCAGAACACUUAAUUGUGCUUAUGAGGAAACUGUACAUAGGUCAAGAGGUAGUUGUUGAAUAGAACAAGGAGAUACUGCAUGGUUUAAAACCAUACUUAUUCAAUCUGUAUGCUGAGCAAAUAAUCCGAGAAGCUGGAGUAUAUGGAGAAGAAUGCAUCAUCAAGAUUGGAGGAAGACUUAUUAACAACCUGCAAUAUGCAAAUAACACAACCUUGCUUGCUGAAAAUGAAGAGGACUUGAAGUACCAACUGAUGAAGAUCAAAGACUACAGCCACGGUAUGGAUUACACCUCAACAUAGAGAAAACAAAAUCCUCUCAACUGGACCAAUAAGCAACGUCAUGAUAAAUUAAGAAAAUAUCGAAGUUGUCAAGGAUUUCAUUUUACUUGGAUCCACAAUAAAUGUCCAUGGGAGCAACAGUCAAGUAAUCAAAAAACAUAUUGCAUGGGGCAAGUCUGCUGCAUAAGGUCUCUUUAAAGUGUUAAAAAGCAAAGGUGUCACCUUGAGUACUAAGGUGCAACUGACCCAAGCCAUGGUAAUGCCAACCACCAUAUAUACAUGUGAAAGCUGGACAGUGAAUGAAGAAGAUCAAAGAAGAGUUCAUGCCUUUGAAUUAUGGUAUUGGCGAAGAGUAGUGAUUAUACCAUUGACUGCCAGAAAAAUGAACAAAUACAUCUUGGAAGAAGUAUAGCUAGAGUGCUCCUUAGAAACAAGGAUGGCAAGACUUUGUCUCAUGUACUUUGGAUAUAUUAUCAGGAGAAACCACUCCCUGGAGAAGGAUAUCAUGCUCGAUAAAAUAGAGGAUGUCAUGGAUUGAACUGUGUCCUGCAAAAGUAUCUGUCAACUUGGCUAGGUCGUGAUUCCCUUGUAUGAUUGUAUGAUUGUCUACCAUUUUAUCGUCUGAUGUGAUAUCCCUAUGUGUUGUAAAUCCCAUCACUAUGAUGUAAUAAGAUGGAUUAGUGGCAAUUAUAUUGAUCAGGUCUACAAGGUUAGGUAGUGUCUUCAACCAAUCUCUUCUGAGAUAUAAAAGAGAGAAGCAAGCAGAGAGACAUGGGGAUCUCAUACCACCACGAACACAGUGCUGGGAGCAGAGCAUAUCCUUUGGACCUGAGGUUCCUGCGCUGAGAUUCUUCCAUACCAAGGGAAGACUGAUGCAUCACAAAGACCUUCCCCCGGAGCCGACAGGGAGGGAAAGCCUUCCGCCGGAGCUGACGCCCUGAAUUUGGACUUGUAGCCUACUGGACUGUGAGAGAAUAAACUUCUCUUUGUUAAAGCCAUCCACUUCUGGUAUUUCUGUUAUAGCAGCACUGGAUGACUAAGACGGGGUCAGGGAAGACCCUCAACAAGAUGCAUUGGCACCGUGGCUGCAACAGUGGGCUCAAACAUUGUGAGGAUGGGGUAAGACCAGGCAGUGUUUCAUUCUAUUGUACCUACAGUCACUAUGAGUCAGAACUGACUUUACAGCACCUAACAACAACAACAAACACUUAAUUCAAGCAAUACUCCUCUAAAACGCUUUCUCUCAGCUACUCCCCCAUUCCUUCUGUCCUGAUGCAGGCUCGUUUACAUGCCCCUCCUCUGUGCUCCUGUAAUGACUUAGAUGUAUUUCUUAUACUGUGUGGCAACAAUUAACACAUUUGUUGGCCUUCUCUAAAGGGACCAUAAGGUGUUCAAGAGCUGGGACCUCAUAUUUCACCAUUUUAUUCCAGUAUGGAGCACUAACCAGAUAAGUUGUUCAAGGACAUCAUACAUGAAGAAUGCAAGAGGUCAUUGAAAAGACAGGAAAGAUAGAAAAAACCAGAAUGGAUGUCAGAGGAGACUCUGAAAAUUGCUCUUGAAUGUUAAGUAGCUAAAGCAAAAGGAAGAAAUGACUAAGUGAAAGAAUUGAACAGAUGAUUUCAAAGGGUGACUUGAGAAGACACAGUAAACUAUUAUAAUGACAUGUGCAAAGAGCUGGAAAUAGAAAACAAAAAUGGAAGAUCAUGCUCAGCAUUUCUCAAGCUGAAAGAACUAAAGAAAAAAUUCAAGCCUCGAGUUGCAAAAGAAGAUGGAAGGAAUGCACACAGCCAUUAUACCCAAAAGAAUUAGACAACAUUCAACCAUUUCAGGAGGUAACAUAUGUUAAGGAACUGAUGGUACUGAAGGAAGGUGUCUAAGCUGCGCUGAAGGCAUUGGUGAAAAACAAGGCUUCAGGAACUGACAGAACAUCAAUUGAGAUGUUUCAACAAAUGGAUGCAGAACUGGAAGUGCUCACAUGUCUAUGCCAAGAAAUAUGGAUGACAGCUUCCUAGCCAAUCGACUGGAAGGGAUCCAUAUUUAUGCCUAUUCCCAAGAAAAGUGAUGCAACCAAAUGUGGAAAUUAUUGAACAAUAUCGUUAAUAUCACGCACGAGUAAAAUUUUGCUGAAGAUCAUUCAAAAAUGGCUGCAGCAGUAUAUUGACAGGGAAAUGCCAGAAAUCAAGGCUGAUUUCAGAAGAGGACGUGGACCAGGGAUAUCUUUGCUGAUGUCAGAUGGAUCCUGGCUAAAAGCAGAGAAUACCAAAAUAUUUUAUUGGCUAUGCAAAGGCAUUCAUCUGUGUGGAUCAUAACAAAUUAUGCAUAACAUUGUGAAGGAUGGGAAUUCCAAAACACUUAAUUGUGCUCAUGAGGAACCUGUACAUAGAUCGAGAGGCAGUCAUUCAAUGAAAACUAGGGGAUACUGCAUGAUUUAAAGUCAAGAAAGGUGUGCAUCAGGGUUGUAUUCUUUCACUAUACCUAUUCAAUCUGUAUGCUGAGCAAAUAAUCCGAGAAGCUGGACUAUAUGAAGAAGGACAGGGCAUCAGGACUGGAGGAAGACUCAUUAACAACCUGAGUUAUGCAGGUGAUGCAACCUUGCUAGCUGAAAUUGAAGAGGACUUGAAGCACUUACUAAUGAAGAUCAAAGAUCACAGCCUUCAGUAUGGACUACAGCACAACAUAAAGAAAACAAAAAUCCUCACAACUGGACCAAUGAGCAAGUGAAAUCUGUACAAUGAAUAAGGAAGAGGAAAGAAGAAUUGACACCCUUGAAUUGUGGUGUUAGAGAAGAAUAUUAAAUAUACUAUGAAGUGCCGAAAGAAUGAACAAAUCCAUCUUGGAAGAAGUACGACCAGAAUGCUUCUUAGAAGCAACGAUGGCAAGACUGUGUCUGACAAACUUUGGACAUGUUGUCAGGAGGGAUCAGUCCCUGGAGAAGGACAUCAUGCUUGGUAAAGUACAGGGUCAGCAGAAAAGAGGAAGACCCUCAACAAGAUGGAUUAACACAGUGGCUGCAACAAUGGGCUCAAGCAUAACAACGAUUGUAAGGAUGGCUCAGGACUGGGCAUUGUUUCAUUCUGUUGUACACAGUGUCACUGUGAGUCCGAACUGACUUGACAGCACCUAACAACAAUAACGACAUGGAGCACUGGGUCUGUCAUCAAUUAUUAAUGAAUUCAUUCA